GCUACCACUUACAGAUGGACCCGCGGCGCAUUAGCUAGUUGGUGAGGUAACGGCUCACCAAGGCGACGAUGCGUAGCCGACCUGAGAGGGUGAUCGGCCACACUGGGACUGAGACACGGCCCAGACUCCUACGGGAGGCAGCAGUAGGGAAUCUUCCGCAAUGGACGAAAGUCUGACGGAGCAACGCCGCGUGAGUGAUGAAGGUUUUCGGAUCGUAAAACUCUGUUGUUAGGGAAGAACAAGUACCGUUCGAAUAGGGCGGUACCUUGACGGUACCUAACCAGAAAGCCACGGCUAACUACGUGCCAGCAGCCGCGGUAAUACGUAGGUGGCAAGCGUUGUCCGGAAUUAUUGGGCGUAAAGCGCGCGCAGGCGGUUUCUUAAGUCUGAUGUGAAAGCCCCCGGCUCAACCGGGGAGGGUCAUUGGAAACUGGGGAACUUGAGUGCAGAAGAGGAGAGUGGAAUUCCACGUGUAGCGGUGAAAUGCGUAGAGAUGUGGAGGAACACCAGUGGCGA
rnacentral:rRNA from 1 species